UGGUCAAACUUAAUUCAAUGAAAGACAAAGAAAUUGACGAAAAGAUUAAUCAAUUAUCACUUAUAUGUAACAAUUUGUAUCAAUUAAUUGACGAAAGACUUGAAACAAGGCUAUGUUAAUUGGAUUAAUGAGCGAUUACAAUUAGGAAACAAUUUUAAAUUAUCAAAAUAAUUGGCACAGUUGAAAAAAUGGAAACAUCAAUCAAAAUAUCAACAUAAAAAAAAUGAUAACAAAUUGGAAACACAAUCAACUAUCAUCACUAAUUAGUUUGCCGUUGAUAUAAUAUAAAUCAACAUCAACAAUCAAGGAGGCCGAUUAAUGAUACAAAGAUUAAGGGUUAACGUAACUUUGGUAACCAUAUUCAAGUUGAUUUAAGUUGAUUAAACACAUUGAAGGAUAAAUUAAAUGAAAACAACUGAGAAAGAGGAUGAGGAUGAGGAGGAUAAGAUGAAGAUGAAAGUCAAAAGGAAAACGUUAAGAAAGUAAAAAAGCAAGAUUAUAACUUGGAUCAGCUUAUUUGUUAACUUGGAUUUACCUCUCACUGGGACUGCAAGUACAAUCAUCUGUUCACUCAUCAUCCUCCUCAUCAUCUACCUUUUCAUCUUUCAACUAAAAAUUGAUACCCUCAUGUAAUAUAUGAGAGAACACAUCAAUCCAAAGCUCACUUGAUGGCGAUGAGAAGAGAAGAUUUAACCUUUACUCGAUUUUCUCUUCAUCAUCCUCUCGUCUCUUCUCUGUCUCUUUUAUCCUUCUUCUAUGCCUUGGAGAAAGAGUAAAGUUAAUAGAUAAAACUAUUACAAAGGAUGAAUGGAGAAGGAAAAAAAAAGACGAACAAGGAAGAGGAAAAGGAAAAGCAUUUUUUGAUUCAUUGGGAUGUUAAAGUAACAGAAUCUGGAAGAUGAAAAGAGAAAGUAAAAGUAAAGAAGAUGAUGAAGGUUCUCUAUUUGUAAUGCUGAAGAAUUUGUUUUGGUAUUGAUCUUACAGAAGCCUUUCUAGAUUUCUCAUCAUCUUAAGAAGAUAAGACAAAAAGAGGAUAAAUCGAAAUGGACAAAGAAAAAGGUGUACUAAUGUUAUCCAUUAUUUUUUUUUCUUGUUCGUCUUCAUCUUAUCCGAUUGAUGUUUCUUUAUCCUUACCUGGAU